UGACGCUAGUGUAGCUAAAGUCAGCGAAAUUUAUAUUCAUGGCAGUACAUCCCGCGCUGUGUUAUUGACAUUCGAGAAAAAUACAGAACCACUAUACAUUAUUUCCGAGCAAACCAACAUAUAAUACGUUAUAUAAGCUCAUUGGCGAUACCCUUUCGACAGCAUGAUGUUGUUUCAAGGAGAGAUAGAGCAGCUCUGUGUGUUUGCAUCGUAUGUCGCAUAGUCGGGCAAUGUUUCGGUGACAUAACCUGGAUGGUACAGUACAUAGCUGCAUAACCAGUUUUAGAGGAUGACGCUCUGUUUACCAAUCAUCUUAGAGAAGACAUGGUUGUUCUGUUUGGUUAUAGUCCGAUAUCAUUCUCAAAUAACGUAUCUCUAAUGCAAGAGACACAAGAAACCAGACGGGGAACUUAUUUCGCACGGCCUUCCCCCGGAGAGAGGACUUCACCUUUUUAAACCCCAAAAAGAUGCAAGACUCCGUACGAGCAGAAACCAAUUUGAAGACUCCAUUUCGGAAGAGCACGCUUUUAGGUCAAGUGGACUCGGACACCGGAAGCUGAGCGGGUUAUCUUCGUUAUCUGAAGGGAUAAGACGAAGAUUAAGUCGAUACAUGUGGAACUUUAUAAUCGUAUUUUGGAGUUUGGUUAAUUAUUUGAAAAUCUUUGCCAUUAUCAAAAUCUUAUCAAUUAUCAAUAUUAUUUAAUCGUAUACUUUUUAGGGUAUAUUCAUUCCAGAUCUAGUAUUUUUCUAUCGUUAAAAAAUUGUUUAAGUUUCGAGAGAUGAAGACUCGAAAGAUGGUUUCUCGUUUCAUUUCAAACAAAUUUAAGAUCGAGAUAUUAAUAUUCGAAGAUCAUUGAGAGGAGGUGAACAUUUGAAUCAAUCAGAUAAGAAAAUCUGAAAUUAUAACAUGACUUAAUAAAUAUCUUUUGAAUAUAUUGAGAUGAUUUGAGAACAAUAAUAUGUAUUUUGAACAAUACAAUGAUAAGGUUAAAUAAUUAUUAUUACAUUUGAAAAUUUAAUAAUCACAUUCAAAAACAAAAAUAACAAUAAAAAUAUUAAUAAUCUCCACUUACCAUCCAUCAUGUGUCGAAGUACUUAGAUGUUAAUCUUUUGGAAAAAUAUUUGCCCAAGAAGAGGAGUGUGGCCAUAAUAAAAAGCGGCGCAUAGAUGCAUCCCUGCACGGCAGUAAAGACGCCGGGCAAGACAUCCAACGAGGGAGCAGCAAACCGUUCGGAAUAUUUCGUUUCUGGCGGAAGCGUGUCGGUGUUAUCUCCGCCUCUGGCGUCAGUCGGAGCCCAACCACGUUCGACUCGUGGCGACUUUCGUCUGAAUAAUUUCUGGUAUCUCAUUGACCCAUCUUGGGAACGCACGUAGAAGAGACGGGUUUCGAACGACAGCUUUGUGGCGCCUUCGCGAUUAGAAAAAUUAAGAAACCAAGGAAGGUUUAAGGAUUAAGGAUGGCGCAUAUAUUCGAGAUAAUUUUGCAUGCUGAGAAAUAUUUAAAAAUGGCUAUAAAAGUUGAUGGUUGUAUAAUCAUAGUUAAAUCUAAAAUUAUCUGAAAGUCGAUAUUGUGUUAGGUCAUUGAAUUUGUCUUUCUAAUGUUAAUCGUUGGUAAUAUCAUCGAAAUUAAUUGUUGAUAUUAAUUUUUUAUUGAAAAGAAAAAUUCUUCAGAAAUUGUUAAUAUUUAAAUAUGUAGUUAAUUGAAAAAUGAUUAAUUCGUUGCAU